rnacentral:lncRNA from 1 species
CUGCACCAGAGCACAUUCCGGUCGCCAAACGAGGUAAAAUUUCUCUCCUUGGCUCGGUUUUUGAUACUGAACCAACCUGUUGUGAAAUUGGAGCCAAACCAUCGGCCAAUUGGCUGAAAAAUACCGUCGAAACCCAGCGGCGCUGCCGCGGGUUUCCUUGAUUUUUGCCUCCAAUGAGACCCUUCCCGAUUUCCGUUCGAUGUAAUUUUUAUACUACUAUGACCACUGUCCUUUCCUCU